CCUACGGGCGGCAGCAGUGGGGGAUAUUGCACAAUGGGGGGAACCCUGAUGCAGCGACGCCGCGUGGGUGAAGAAGCGCCUCGGCGCGUAAAGCCCUGUCAGCAGGGAAGAAAAUGACGGUACCUGAAGAAGAAGCCCCCGCUAACUACGGGCCAGCAGCCGCGGUAAUACGUAGGGGGCAAGCGUUAUCCGGAUUUACUGGGUGGAAAGGGGGCGCAGACGGCGAUGCAAGCCAGGAGUGAAAGCCCGGGGCCCAACCCCGGGACUGCUCUUGGAACGGCGUGGCUGGAGUGCAGGAGGGGCAGGCGGAAUGCCUGGUGUAGCGGUGAAAUGCGUAGAUAUCAGGAGGAACACCGGUGGCGAAGGCGGCCUGCUGGACUGCAACUGACGUUGAGGCCCGAAAGCGUGGGGAGCAAACAGGAUUAGAUACCCUGGUAGUC
rnacentral:rRNA from 1 species